CCUCUCUCCUUGUUCUCUUUUUAUUCACUUUGCUCCAGCAGUUUUUGUUGUUUUAAUUUCCUUUGCCAAGUCUCUCUCACUCAGCUUGGCUUCUGGCAAUUCUUCCUCACACUUUGUAACCUGCAAUAUGUUAUCUUCUCCACUGUUUAAUCCCCUUUUCCACAUCUGUUAGGUUCUUUGCUUAAACCUCUCUUUUUUAUUGGCUAUUUAUCUAGCUAAGAGUACAGUUCCUUCUUUCCAGACUUUCCCUUUGUGACAAAAGCUCCAAAUGGAAUUUCUUAAGGGCAAAAAGAUAAAAGAUGUGCCUUGUCCACAUUUAACUCCCUGUGGUCCCAGAGUUAGCAGAGCACAAAUAGCUGUUCCCUCCAAAAUCCCCCUCUGUUGCCUCCUUUUUUCUCUCUCUUUCAUUCAAACUGUAUGUUUUCAAAUGGACCAUUCUAUUCUAUAUUCUAUUAAUGAUUACAUCUGAGCUACCGUGAACUCACUGGAAGGAACACUAAGUUCAGUCCUGGCCUGAUAGCAAGAUCAAUAAGCCUUUGUCAUCAGUGUCAAAACACUGUGCAUGUAACACGGCCAGAAGAGUCAAUUUGAAGAACUGGCAUAAUGCUCAUUGUGGCAUCUGAUAUUUGUCAACCCUGUCAAAAGAUGGACACCUGUGUCUGGAAGCUCUUGUGGGAUGAAACAGACUUCGAAAGCCUCACUCUCCAUGUUGUGCCUCAAGUAUUACUUCAUGGGUGUAGCAGAAUUGCUAAGUAUCAGCUUGAAACAGUGACUGAGCAUGUAGUGGGAAGGCAGGGCCAACCCAGGGGAGCUCAGGUGCAUGCAAUGUAGAUGAGUGACUGGAAGGGGUGGAGCAGGAUUCACCCCUUCCCAGACCUCAUUUAAGGGUUGGCAGUGGAGGUGAGGGUACCUUACUGGAGAUCCCUACCUACCUGAGGCCUUCCCAAGGUAAGCAGAUUUUCUUCUUAUUUCUGCUUCUGUGCCUGCAGCACUGGGGAUUGUUCUCCUCUACUGCAGCCUAGGAUUGUGCCACCCUGCUAUUACUGCUGUGUUUUCCUUCACAUUAUAGCAUUACAAUGGGCAAACUAGAGUCAAUGCACUUUACACUACAGACUCCUCACUUGAAGAAGAGAGGGAUGGAGCAGCAACAUUUCAUUCUCCCUCCCACUGAACAUUCAAGCUGCGUAGAAGCUUUGGGAGAUCUGAAAGCUUGGAAAACAGGCAAAUUUGGAAAGUAGUGUAUGUGCAUGGGAGGCAAGGACACAAGUACCUCCAGGAACACAGCCUUGUGUAGGGCACUUAACCACUCUGAUCAGCUGUACAUGCACACCAUGUGUGAACAUCAGAGCUUCUUUUCUAUCCAAAGUAAUAUCUGUAUUUAAGACCUAUGAGAUCCAGCUUAAAGAUGCACCGUUUAUUUUCCUCCACCCUGGCAACCUGUGUAAACCUCUACCUGCAACUAAAAAUGGAGCAUAUGUUGUGGCUUAUUUCAAACACUACAGAGAUGUAAGUCCUAGUAAGGCACACUGCUGCACCAGCUGUCCCCUCUGCACAGUAUUUCUUCCACCUCUAUUGCUUGCGUGUCCAGUGACUGAGGUAACAAAAUUUUAAUUCCUGUUUUUUGCAUCCAAAAAGAGACAGGGUAAUAGCACAAACACAGAAAAUCCCACAUAGGAAGGGACCCACAAGGAUCAUUGAGUCCAGCUCUUGCCCCAAGUCUGGGAUGUGUUUGGGGCUUUCCUUACUUGUUAAUUUUAUGGCACAGAGCAGAA